GCCACCAGCCAUAUCACCCUGCAGCCCAAGACUGGUUGCCCACUGAAGCUAAGCAGGGCUGAGCCUGGUCAGUACCUGGAUGGGAGACCUCCUGGGAAAACUAGGUUGCUGCUGGAA
rnacentral:rRNA from 1 species